rnacentral:misc_RNA from 1 species
UAUACAACUGAUGAGGCUAUU